rnacentral:rRNA from 1 species
AGAGUUUGAUCCUGGCUCAGAACGAACGCUGGCGGCAGGCCUAACACAUGCAAGUCGAACGCUGUAGCAAUACAGAGUGGCAGACGGGUGAGUAACACGUGGGAAUCUUCCUAUCGGUACGGAAUAGCUCAGGGAAACUUGGGGUAAUACCGCAUACGCCCUUCGGGGGAAAGAUUUAUCGCCGAUAGAUGAGCCCGCGUCUGAUUAGCUAGUUGGUGAGGUAAUGGCUCACCAAGGCGACGAUCAGUAGCUGGUCUGAGAGGAUGACCAGCCACACUGGGACUGAGACACGGCCCAGACUCCUACGGGAGGCAGCAGUGGGGAAUAUUGGACAAUGGGCGCAAGCCUGAUCCAGCCAUGCCGCGUGAGUGACGAAGGUCUUCGGAUUGUAAAGCUCUUUUGGCGGGGACGAUAAUGACGGUACCCGCAGAAUAAGCCCCGGCUAACUUC